rnacentral:rRNA from 1 species
AGAGUUUGAUCCUGGCUCAGAUUGAACGCUGGCGGCAGGCCUAACACAUGCAAGUCGAGCGGUAGAGAGAAGCUUGCUUCUCUUGAGAGCGGCGGACGGGUGAGUAAUGCCUAGGAAUCUGCCUGGUAGUGGGGGAUAACGUCCGGAAACGGACGCUAAUACCGCAUACGUCCUACGGGAGAAAGCAGGGGACCUUCGGGCCUUGCGCUAUCAGAUGAGCCUAGGUCGGAUUAGCUAGUUGGUGAGGUAAUGGCUCACCAAGGCGACGAUCCGUAACUGGUCUGAGAGGAUGAUCAGUCACACUGGAACUGAGACACGGUCCAGACUCCUACGGGAGGCAGCAGUGGGGAAUAUUGGACAAUGGGCGAAAGCCUGAUCCAGCCAUGCCGCGUGUGUGAAGAAGGUCUUCGGAUUGUAAAGCACUUUAAGUUGGGAGGAAGGGUACUUACCUAAUACGUGAGUAUUUUGACGUUACCGACAGAAUAAGCACCGGCUAACUCUGUGCCAGCAGCCGCGGUAACACAGAGGGUGCAAGCGUUAAUCGGAAUUACUGGGCGUAAAGCGCGCGUAGGUGGUUCGUUAAGUUGGAUGUGAAAUCCCCGGGCUCAACCUGGGAACUGCAUCCAAAACUGGCGAGCUAGAGUAUGGUAGAGGGUGGUGGAAUUUCCUGUGUAGCGGUGAAAUGCGUAGAUAUAGGAAGGAACACCAGUGGCGAAGGCGACCACCUGGACUGAUACUGACACUGAGGUGCGAAAGCGUGGGGAGCAAACAGGAUUAGAUACCCUGGUAGUCCACGCCGUAAACGAUGUCAACUAGCCGUUGGGAGCCUUGAGCUCUUAGUGGCGCAGCUAACGCAUUAAGUUGACCGCCUGGGGAGCACGGCCGCAA